AACAUAACAGUAAAAAGUAGUAGUAAAAGAACUCUGACUAUAGGAUGUAUUUAACAAAGCACAGAAACUGAAAGGUCUAGAAAUAGUUUCUUAUUAGCAACAGCCAGAGAAUUUUUUU